rnacentral:lncRNA from 1 species
UGGUGUUCGAGGCUGCUCAUCAUUACGCACACCUGUCACCAUUGUCACGUGCAGCAGCGCUCCUUCGGACUCACCUGGACUCCAUCACAUCAUUGAUUGCCUCCCCUAUAUCUGUCACUUCCUCAGUUUCAUCCCUGUGACUGCACUGAUGUUGUAUUGUGUCUCUUGUCCAGACGCUGUUCUUGUUUAGUUUCAUGUCUAUUUUUAAAUCCUCACCCUGUACUUGCUUCCCGUCUCCCAGCGACUGUAGUUACGGAACCGUUACACUGUGAUGAACCGUGUGUGUGUGUGUGUGUGUGUGUGUGUGUGUGUGUGUGUGUGUGUGUGUGUGUGUGUGUGUGUGUGUGUGUGUGUGUGUGUGUGUGUGUGUGUGUGUGUGUGUGUGUGUGUGUGUGUGUGUGUGUGCGCGCGCGCGCGAAGGCAUGCAAAAAAAUAUUCAGAACCAGACAAUAUCACCCAAACUUUCACCACAAUGAUUCUCCAUAGAUGAAAAACCCUUCAAUCUCUGUGAUCCUGUCCCACAAUGGAGACGUUUAUGAUCUAUUCAUUUCGUUUGAAAUUGUUUGCUGUUGUGGUUGUCAGGCUAUAGUAUUUUAAAGACGUAAUUGAGAAAAGUGCUUGGAACUAACAAAAUCGCUACUGUUAAAAGUGAUGAAUGUUCUAUAUGCCCAAGGAGGCCUGGUUUCAUUCUGAGGGGAUUUGGAGGAUCAGAAUACACACACGCACGCACACACACACACACACACACACACACACACACACACACACACACACACACACACACACACACACACACACACACACACACACACACACACACACACACACACACACACACCUCUUAUCUCCCUGUAGGCCCUGUGUAUGGAGGUUUCUCAGAGGGAUGUCAUUGUCAGGCUGUCUGUAGAGCCAUAGGAGAGAGACCAAUUUACCUCCACCUUCUCCAUCCCCCCUUUCUCUCUCUCUCUCCUUCACAUAUACACAUACACAUACACACACACACACACACACACAGUAUUGUACAGCUAACCUUGUGGGGGGACACAUUUCAGUCCCAUUCUUAUUUACCCAUUCCCUAAACCUAACCCUAACCGGUACUCUAACCCUAACCCUAAUAUUAAACCCUACCCUAACCCUAAAAUGUAACCUUAACACUAUACUUAACCAUAGCUCCUAACCCUUAAUGUAAUUCUAACUCAAACACUAAUUCUAACCUUAACCCUAAACCACCUAGAAAUAGUAUUUGACCUCAUGGGGACUUAUAAAAUGUCCCUUCUAGUCCCCACAAGAAUAAUUAAACACGUCCAUACACCCACACACACACACAAAUACACUAUUAUCUUCCCUGCUGACUUGUCCCUGCAGUGUUUACCUCUCCUCUCCCAUCCCUCUCUCACUUCCUCUCUCUCUCUCUCCCCUCCUUCUCCUCUCCCCUCCCUACCUUGCUCCCUCUCUCUCUCCCCUUAGUCUCUCUCUUUCCCCCCAUCCAUCUCUAUCUUUCAGUUUCUGUAGCCUAAUUGGCCAGACUAUUCCCCCUGUCAUCCCUAGUGUAGUGUUGGAAGACACAGUCAGCCCAGCAAAACAUGAACAUGACCCCCACCCUGACACACAGAAAAAACUCUCUCUCUCUCUCUCUCUCUCUCUCUCUCUCUCUCUCUCUCUCUCUCUCUCAUGUACAUGCUAUCUAUGAAAAGUAAACUUUGUCACAUUUGCAGUGUGGACAGUAGAUCAGUGUUGUCAUGUUUUAGACUAGGUUUCUGUAUAAGCACUUUGUGACAUCUGAUGAUAUAAAGCUGAAAAUUAAUCUGAAGGAAGUUGGCAUUUGUCUAUUUCAAUUUUCCAUUAUUUUAGUCUAUUAUGGGGCCAUUAUUUUCCUAUUUUCUGCCAGGAGAUUCUUAGUGAUUGUUCCAUAUUUACUGGAGUGUGUCCAGUGGCCGUAUUUAACCAGAUGAACAGCAGAUCAAUACAGUGUACUCUGGCCCUGCUCGGAAACGGGAACCCUGAUUUGCAUUACCCAAGCUUUAACUACUGGCUUGAUAUGUUUAAAAUACAACACAAACAGGUAACAUUUAACAGUCUCAUCUGGUGGUGUGUGUCUGCUGUUAAAAACCAACAGGCUUUCACAGCGACUGUGUGUGUGUCUGUGUGGGUGUUCUCCAGGGCUGUGGCCUAAAGACUAACACUCCUAAACCAUUGCAUGUCUCCUCAGCAGCCCUUAGGUUGGAGAUGGCAAACUGUCUUUACUAAUUCAUGAUCUGAUGCAUUUAAUUCACUCCUCACUCCCCAGUCUUUCCUAAUUUAUUAAGCGUUAUACAAUACCCCGAGGAGCACAGGUACCUAGAUCAACUUUGACAUUUGCUUUCAAACAUGGCUUCUGUCAAACAAUGAUACGUUAAGAUAUGUUUUCUCAGAGAAUUAACGACCGUAAAAAUACACAAUGAAUUCUUAAGCAAUAAUGCAUGACAGCAAUAAUGGAUUAGCAUGAAUAACACAGGACGAUUAGGCUCAACGGGUGGCAUGAUGAAGUUGAAGCUAUGAACCUGUCUCUGGUCUGUUCGCAGGGACCGUGAAGUAAAAAGUCUGAUUGAAUUAAUUAAUCAAAUAAUAAUCAAGUCCUUGAGUAAUAAAUUCAAGCGUGCUGGGCGAAAAACACUGUCCUGGUGAGUAUCCAGGACCGUAGGAGAAGAUCACAACACACGCUUUUUAUUUAAUUUAACUAGGCAGGUCAGUUAAGAACUAAUUCUUAUUUACAAUGACAGCCUACCCCGGGCAAACGGGGACCAAUUGUGCACCGCCCUAUGGGACUCCCAAUCACGACCGGAUGUGAUACAGCCUGGAUUCGAAAUAGAGACUGUAGUGACGCCUCUUGCACUGAGAUAGAGUGCCGUAGACCGCUGCGCCACUCGGGAGCACGCACACAGACACAGACAGACAGACAGACACUCAAGUCCCCAUCAGCCCUCAGGUCUUCAUUAGUUCAUUAUUAUCAUUAGUCAGAUUAAAAGUGGAAUAUCUCCCCUAUCUCUCCCCUCUCCUCCAAGCCUAGAUGAGAUUCAUUAACUGUAAUGAAAGGUAGUUCCAUCUGGUGUAACAAACUAGCUUCUUUAGAUCGUGAGUGUGGGGAUAAGUGUGGGUGUGUGUGUUAUUCUCCUUUAUCAGAAGGUCUUAGAGGUUUGUACCUGAGCCUAAACCACAAAUCAGGCUAGAGGAGUUAGAGAGGUCACUUUGGUCAAGAAGUUAGAGAGUUCACUUCGGUCAAGGAGUUAGAGAGGUCACCUUGGUCAAGAAGUUAGAGAGGUCACUUCGGUCAAGGAGUUAGAGGUCACUUUGGGCAAAAAGUUAGAGAGAUCACUUUGGUCAAGGAGUUAGAGAGGAACUUUGGUCAAGGAUUUAGCGAGGUAACUUCUCAAACUCCUCUGUGUUCAACUCAGGUUAACCAGCACCUCCAAAGUGGCUCACCUUCAUUGCCACCUUUACGGCAAUGAAUACUUCAGAACUAUGCCGCUCCGGGGCAGGCUAACUUAGGGCUAACUCCAUUUAUCCUGAAUGAAGUGUCUGAGCCACGAGUUGAGGACCAAUGAAUUUAGAUUCCAUUCCAAUUGCAAAGAUGGCAUCCUCCUCCCCUUCAUUUGAGGAAGACAACUGAUGAAAUAUUUUACAUAAAGCUGUCCCAACAGCAGUCUCAAAAGCAGCCCCAACAUCUUACCACUGCAACACCUGGCUAUCAGUGGAGCUUUGUCUGGCAGCGAAACAGUUCAUUCAGACUCAUUUACUGCCUUUUAGCUGAUAUGGCUGACUUGCUUAAACAAAUGUGGUUUCUACUAUGGCAUAAGGGGACGACAAGCAUAUAAGAGGCAAUCCGUAAUUUUGAUUAAGACAUGAGCGAGCUAAGACGGACGUAGUCAAUAUAAGUAUUAGUUCAGCGACAGAAUUCUGUAGAUAAGAAAUGUACAGCGACAGAAUUCAGAACAUUGACCGUUCUUACAGUGUUCUCACUUGUACACCAAGUCAGAACCGUAGGAUAAAUAAAGGGGGCAUAUUAGCAGACAAUGAAAGCUCUUACAAUAUUUGAUGAUUACAUUUCUCUAAAACAGGUCAUAUGCUACAUGUGCACCACCAAGUCAGAACAGUAGGCUGAAUUAAGAGGGGAAAAUAUAUCAAAUUAUUAGGAUGAGGCACAUGGGCUACUAACAGCUUACUACACACUAUACACUUAGUAUUACUUUCUUAGCUACAGUAUACGUACCUCCCUGGCAUAUUACAUAAUUUAUGCAGCAGCAUACAAUACAUUUUUGGACUCAUCUUGUUGUGCUGUGGUCACUUGAACAGAAAGGUGGUGCGGCUGUCCUUCAUGGGCAAAUGUCGUUGUCAAAUGUGUCAUCAAAGUCUGGCAUUCUCUGGAUUUACAGUGCUAUGAAGAAAACUGGGAACUCUGGAAAAAAAAGAUUGAAUCAUGAUGACGUCAGUGAUCUUCAGGUCGUAGCUCUAGGAAGAGGUCCGAGGUCCGAUUUACAAUUCCAAAUUGGAUGACAGUUCAAAACAUAUUUUCCCAGUCAAAGCGUGUUUUUCCAGAGUUCCCAGUUGUCUUGAACUCACUGAAGUCAGCUUUCCCUGUUCUGAGUUAACAGCUAUUUUUGAGCACGGCAGAAAUCAUGCUGGAAUGACAGCAUUGCCAAUGCUGAAUGUUUCUCAUUUUAAGUUUGGAAAAGAGACACUUAAACCCAGAUUUGGGACCACACAGCCACUCCGCUGAAUAGCAGGCUAGUGACUGCUUUGCAAUGCUUGCAGUUAUCCACUGAUUCCUUCCAAACCACUUAAUGUUGAAUUUGCGAUUUCCAACUUGUUAUGUAAUGUUUAUGUCCAAUGGCCGAUGAGCACCGAUACGUUUUAUCUAUAAUUUCUCUUAAUUAUUUUAUGACAAGGAUUAAAAAGGAUUUGCCCGUAGAUUGUCGACUUGAUUCAUGAUGAUGACUGCUAGCUUAUAUUUUGAAAGUACUGUAUGAUGUUGACAUGAUCUGUCCAAUCAAAGCUACUGUUGAUAUAACGUGAUUUGACAUCAUUUUAUCUGUGGCCAAGGACCUUGAGCCUUCUUGGAUGGAUACUUCUAAUGUAACUCUAUGGAAGCACACAAGGGGCUAGAAUUUUCAAGCUCCACCUUUAGAUUUGCAGGUGACUCUGUGUCCCCAUGCGUGACAGAACACUGAGCCAAUCACGGCACAACUGGAGAACAUUACCAACCCCUACAAGAGAGAAAGAGAGAGAGAACGAGGGAGAGAGAGAGAGAGAGAGCGAGAGAGAGACAGAGAGAGAGCGAGAGGGAGAGAGAGAGAAUGUCACCCCAGCUGUGGGCCGCAGGCCUACAACCCACCGCUUCAUAUACAUUCUGGAUCCCGGCUCACCCUCCACACACACAUGCACACACACAAAUGUGCCAACCUACCCUGGAGGGCCCCUAAGAUGUCCGCAGCUGUGCAUAAAUGCCAGUGAGCUUACCCACCCUCCCCCAUCACACACACUGGUGAGAACACCCAACGCGCCAGGCUGGGCUAAGCCGAUUAGAUUUUGGGUGUGUCUGUGUGUGCAUGCGUCCAUGCCUGCAUUUUCGAGAGUGAAUGCAUGAGGGUGUGCAGGCAACGGGGGGCAACGGGAGGUGGUGGGGUGGGGGGGUUAGGCUCUCUGUAGGAAUCAUGUUUUGUUAUCCUUUCUCCCCUACUCCAUUUCCCCCCUUCUCUCGUUUUAUCGCUUGUGUUUUAUUCAUAUCCUCCUGAGAUUUAGUUUAGUCACUGUGUGCUCAGCCUCCCGUUGAUCAACUUCAGCUGGAAAUUAUUUCACAUUCAAAGGAUUACAUUUCUUAGAAAUUGAAUGCAGAAAAAACUGUUUGCGUCCCUAUGGGCCUAGGUCAAAAGUAGUGCACUACACAGGGAAUAGGAUGCCAUUUGGGACGCACACCCUGAAUCCUCAAAAUGUUGCCCUAUUAAUAUCCCAUGUGGUUAAACUUGAAGUGAUUCCACUCAGAGCAAAUUGGAUAUGAAUCUCCAGUAUAAUGAAUAAAAAUCACAUAACCAUCCACAUGUAAUCAAAUAUAUAAAUAUAAUAAUAUAUGCCAUUUAGCAGAUGCUUUUAUCAUACGUUUUAAGUAAGUGGAAUGGCGGGUAUUCAUGGGUGCCAAGUGAAGCCAGGCUUCCUAAAAAAAACAUAAUUUUCCUUCAAUUUGCAAGAGGCUGAAUGUAUCUCACAGGAAAAGGCUUCCGAGCGAGCGAAACAGCGCCCCUCUGUCUCUCUACGUGUAGGCUAUCUAUCUGAUGCUGUCUGGUCCAAACAAGUAGCAUUGAAGGCAAGGGAAGCCAGCAAGAUUUGGCCUCCCUUGAUAAAAAAAGUAUCCAAAAUUAGCCAAUCAGCAUUGAGCUAAACUGUGAAUGGUCCUGGCACACCAACAAAAAGUGUCAAAGGAAGCCAGCUUGGAUUUUGGCUUCACUCCUAUCACAACGCAUCAAAAGAAAUACGUAUUUGACAGAAACAUUGGAAUUGUUGUAUCUCGUUGUGUUGUUUUCCUCCGGUGGCUAGCUAGCUAGCUAAAACUAGACCUUUCUUAGAUUAGCCAUGGAUGGAGAUGGGGAUUUGGACUUAAUUCUCCGAACUGGCCAAUGAUUAUAAAGGCGAUUCUGAUCCAACCAUUAAUUCAUACAUUGUUGUGUCCCUGGCCUGAGAGGAUGGAAGUUUAAUAGGUAUCUAGAUGUAGAAGGCUAAUGUUAACUAGCUAGCGUUGCCCAUGAAUUGAAGUUAGGCUAGUGAGUUAGCAUUUUAGCCAGGUAGCCUUGGACAACAAAAAAUAAAAGGGUGUACUGUAUGUAUGAGUGAUAGAGCGUUUCAUCAACAUGAAAGAGAGGAGGAUGGCAAGUUGGGUGAGUCAACAUGUUUUUCUACUUUCAUGAAUGUACAUGCACACACAGAACCAUGGACAGCCACAUCAUAUGAAGCUUACGUUGAUUGGACUAAAUAGUUUUUGGUGUCUUUUUGUUGUCACUGUAUUAGACGGAGGUGAUUUGAUGAUGUUGAAAUGUUGAAGUGUAAAUGGUGCUGGAAUAGCGGAAGCAGCUCCUCUUUUCUCUGUGACUAGCUGUAGCUCUCUGUGACUAGCUGUAGCUCUCUGUGACUAGCUGUAGCUCUCUGUGACUAGCUGUAGCUCUCUGUGACUAGCUGAAGCUCUCUGUGACUAGCUGUAGCUCUCUGUGACUAGCUGUAGCUCUCUGUGACUAGCUGUAGCUCUCUGUGACUAGCUGUAGCUCUCUGUGACUAGCUGCAGCUCUCUGUGACUAGCUGUAGCUCUCUGUGGUUCUAAAUCAAUAGUUGUUAAGUGGUCUGAAAAUGUCAGAAACAUUAACUUGCUUGACAAUGCUGUAGGUCUUGUAACUGUCUGUUACUGUACAUGCAAUAUGCUUUGUGGACUUCACUGCACAGAGGUUGGUAUCUGGUUUUGUGAAAAAACAGUGGUUGAAUUUAUUCUGCCACUGUGUCUUUUUAUUGUCUCAAUAUUUAAGCCUAAAUAUCACGGUUGCAAGGCAUAUGAAUUACCAGGCUAUAGAACAGACAACGCAUAUAUUGUAAUUUUGUUUUUUUUUGGGUUGGGGGGGUGCUUGGCUUCCCCAUUGAUUUUACCCACGCACCGCUACUGCGUAGGGGUAGCCCUGGGAAUAGAACCCACAAUCCGAACGACCCAAUCUUCAUGCUCUUCCAACUGAGCCAUACAGGUGUCACGUCCUGACCAGUAAAAGUUGUUUGUUAUUGUAGUUUGGUCAGGGCGUGGCAGGGGGUGUUUGUUUAGAGUGUUUCGGGGUUUGUUGGGCUAUGUUCUUUGUUAGUCUAUUUCUAUGUUAGUUCUAGUAUGUCUAUUUCUAUGUGGUGUUUAUUGGGUUGACCUUCAAUUGGAAGCAGCUGCUCCACGUUGCUUCUAAUUGAAGGUCCUAUUUAAGAGGGGUGUUUUUUCUAUGGGAUUUGUGGGUAGUUGUUUCCUGUUUUGUGUUCGUGCACCUGACGGGACUGUUUAGUGUCGUUUGUUGUUUUUUGUAUACGUGUUUCUUUUGUUUUCCUUCUUUAAUAAAAUAAGAAGAUGAGUUUACACGUUCCCGCUGCGUUUUGGUCCAAUCCCUACGACACCCGUGACAACAGGACACCAUACAUGAGCCACCUCUGGUUAAUACCCCGUACAUGAGCCACCUCUGGUUAAUACCCCGUACAUGAGC